GAGGGAGCACAUGGCCAACGACAAGGCAACUUCCGAGGCACGUUGCAAACUCAAGGGUAAGAAAAGUAGUGGGGUGCCCCCUCGGAAAAAAGCACAGGGAAACAACAGCAAUUCUAUUGUAACUACUGAGUAAGGGCAAGGUUCCGAACCAAAACACCAAAGCCCUGCAGAUCACCCAUUGUUCGGGGUGAGACGAUACGUACACAAGAAUCACAAAGCAUCCAAUCCUGUGCUACAUGUCAAAGUCACUGACCAUUUAUCUUACAAGGUACUUCAAUCAUGGAAAGGGAGAAAGAUCGAACAGGAGGCUGGAAUUGCACACUGUAGUUUACCAAUUACCAAGCGGGCAGUAGGAUUUCGCA